CUUUGCUAAGGGCAGAUGAUUCAGCACGGUAUCCUUCGAUGAGUACUGUCAUCUCAAAUCCUUUUUAAGAAGAAAAGUGCAACCCACUGGAGAAAGAGAGGGACUCCGAGGAAGGAGAGAGAGAAGAGGUUGGAAUGAAAGAAAAUGGACAAUCUGUCAGGCUGAACUUUUACACUUAAGAUCAGGGUUCAAACUAGAAGAUGAUAAAAACAAAGGAAAACAAAGCCGACACCGUCCCAGGAGUAACAUACCCUCUUAGAUCACUGUAAAAUGCAAGAAUCAUGCCCUGACACAAAGCUCAAAUUUUGCAAUUUUCAGAGGUUUCCUGGUAACUUUCAUAUAAAUGUACAUAAAUAUCAUGUCAAAGCAAAAGCACACAGUCAUGAUAUUGACUUCUUAUUCUUCCCUGCUUCUUGACAAGAUAAAUCUAAAAAGUGGCAC
rnacentral:lncRNA from 1 species